GGGGGUUUAGCUCAGCUGGGAGAGCAUCUGCCUUACAAGCAGAGGGUCAUAGGUUCGAGCCCUAUAGGUCCCA
rnacentral:tRNA from 1 species